rnacentral:rRNA from 1 species
CCUACGGGUGGCAGCAGUGAGGAAUAUUGGUCAAUGGACGAGAGUCUGAACCAGCCAAGCAGCGUGAAGGAUGACUGCCCUAUGGGUUGUAAACUUCUUUUAUAUGGGAAUAAAACGUUCCACGUGUGGGAUUUUGUAUGUACCAUAUGAAUAAGGAUCGGCUAACUCCGUGCCAGCAGCCGCGGUAAUACGGAGGAUCCGUGCGUUAUCCGGAUUUAUUGGGUUGAAAGGGAGCGUAGGUGGAUUGUUAAGUCAGUUGUGAAAGUUUGCGGCUCAACCGUAAAAUUGCAGUUGAAACUGGCAGUCUUGAGUACAGUAGAGGUGGACGGAAUUCGUGGUGUAGCGGUGAAAUGCGUAGAUAUCACGAAGAACUCCGAUUGCGAAGGCAGUUCACUGGACUGCAACUGACACUGAGGCUCGAAAGUGUGGGUAUCAAACAGGAUUAGAUACCCGGGUAGUC